GAAUAGCUUAGUCAGCAGAACAUGAGACUCUUCAUCUCAGGGUUGUGGGUUUGAGCCCCACGUUGGGCA